rfam:Bombyx mori DNA, contig: Bm_scaf107_contig37004, strain: p50T/Dazao, build 2, whole genome shotgun sequence.
UGUAAGCACAUUUGUAUGGAGUUGGAACCAUUGCCUACGUUUGCCGCUACGGGCGCUGUUCCAACUCCAUACAAAUUAGAGUUA